CGUGGGUAACCUGCCCAAGAGAUCGGGAUAACACCUGGAAACAGAUGCUAAUACCGGAUAACAACAGAUGAUGCCUAUCAACUGUUUAAAAGAUGGUUAUGCUAUCACUCUUGGAUGGACCUGCGGUGCAUUAGCUAGUUGGUAGGGUAACGGCCUACCAAGGCGAUGAUGCAUAGCCGAGUUGAGAGACUGAUCGGCCACAUUGGGACUGAGACACGGCCCAAACUCCUACGGGAGGCAGCAGCC
rnacentral:rRNA from 1 species